rnacentral:lncRNA from 1 species
AUCACCGAGCGUGCACUACUGUACCGACUUCGAAUCGAAGUAUCCACCUAUACGAAUGUCGCAUCUGUCUCCUGACUGCGGAAGAAAGUCAUCCGGACCUAAGAAGGGUCCACCGGGUUAGUGUCUAACCCACAACUAAUAACCACUGAAUCCACAACCCCACAAAUAAUCCCACGGAGAUCGGUUUCCUAAAACUGAUUACCGUAACUCGCCGGAUGUCCCGAAAAUCGCACCGGGACUCUGUCGAGACCCACGAACUGUCCCGGAACGCACCGACUCGU